rnacentral:rRNA from 1 species
UACAGAGGUCGCAAGCGUUGUCCGGAUUCAUUGGGCGUAAAGGGCGCGUAGGCGGCGCGGUAAGUGGGGUGUGAAAUCUUGGAGCUUAACUCCGAAACUGCAUUCGAUACUGCCGUGCUUGAGGACUGGAGAGGAGGCUGGAAUUUACGGUGUAGCGGUGAAAUGCGUAGAUAUCGUAAGGAAGACCAGUGGCGAAGGCGGGUCUCUGGACAGUUCCUGACACUGAGACACGAAGGCCAGGGGAGCAAACGGG